CUUCUGACGUUAGCGGCGAACGGGUGAGUAACACGUAAGGAAUCUACCUAUAAGCGGGGGAUAACAUUCGGAAACGGGUGCUAAUACCGCAUAAUAUCUUCUUCCGCAUGGAAGAAGAUUGAAAGACGGCUCUGCUGUCACUUAUAGAUGACCUUGCGGUGCAUUAGUUAGUUGGUGGGGUAACGGCCUACCAAGACGAUGAUGCAUAGCCGACCUGAGAGGGUGAUCGGCCACAUUGGGACUGAGACACGGCCCAAACUCCUACGGGAGGCAGCAGUAGGGAAUCUUCCGCAAUGGGCGAAAGCCUGACGGAGCAAUGCCGCGUGAGUGAAGAAGGCCUUCGGGUCGUAAAACUCUGUUAUAAGAGAAGAACAAAUUGUAGAGUAACUGCUACAGUCUUGACGGUAUCUUAUCAGAAAGCCACGGCUAACUACGUGCCAGCAGCCGCGGUAAUACGUAGGUGGCAAGCGUUGUCCGGAUUUAUUGGGCGUAAAGGGAGCGCAGGUGGUUUCUUAAGUCUGAUGUGAAAGCCCACGGCUUAACCGUGGAGGGUCAUUGGAAACUGGGAAA
rnacentral:rRNA from 1 species